GGGGAUAUGGCGAAAUCGGUAGACGCUACGGACUUUCAAUACUGACAACAAAGAAAUUUCUAGUAAGAAGAAAAUCCGUCGACUUUCAAAGUCGUGAGGGUUCAAGUCCCUCUAUCCCCA
rnacentral:tRNA from 4 species